rnacentral:rRNA from 1 species
UACGUAGGGUGCGAGCGUUAAUCGGAAUUAUUGGGCGUAAAGCGCGCGCAGGUGGUUUCUUAAGUCUGAUGUGAAAGCCCACGGCUCAACCGUGGAGGGUCAUUGGAAACUGGGGAACUUGAGUGCAGAAGAGGAAAGUGGAAUUCCAAGUGUAGCGGUGAAAUGCGUAGAGAUUUGGAGGAACACCAGUGGCGAAGGCGACUUUCUGGUCUGUAACUGACACUGAGGCGCGAAAGCGUGGGGAGCGAACAGG